UACAGAGGGUGCAAGCGUUAAUCGGAAUUACUGGGCGUAAAGCGUGCGCAGACGGUUGCGUAAGUCAGAUGUGAAAGCCCCGGGCUCAACCUGGGAAUUGCAUUUGAGACUGCGUAGCUAGGGUGCGGAAGAGGGAAGCGGAAUUUCCGGUGUAGCGGUGAAAUGCGUAGAUAUCGGAAGGAACACCAGUGGCGGAAAGCGGCUUCCUGGUCCAGCACCGACGUUCAGGCACGGAAAAGCGUGG
rnacentral:rRNA from 1 species